UACGAAGGGGGCUAGCGUUGCUCGGAAUCACUGGGCGUAAAGCGCACGUAGGCGGAUUGUUAAGUCAGGGGUGAAAUCCUGGAGCUCAACUCCAGAACUGCCUUUGAUACUGGCGAUCUUGAGUCCGGUAGAGGAGUGUGGAAUUCCCGGUGUAGCGGUGAAAUGCGCAGAUAUCGGGAGGAACACCCGUAGCGAAGGCGGCACUCUGGGCCGGUACUGACGCUGAGGAGCGAAAGCGUGGGGAGCAAACAGG
rnacentral:rRNA from 1 species